CAAACAUUAUUCGGAAUUACUGGGCUUAAAGAGUUCGUAGGCGGCAUGGAAAGUAGGGUGUGAAAUCCCUCGGCUCAACCGAGGAAUUGCGCUCUAAACUGCCGUGCUAGAGGAAGCUAGAGGUGAGCGGAACUGAUGGUGGAGCGGUGAAAUGCGUUGAUAUCAGCAGGAACACCGGAGGCGAAGGCGGCUCACUGGGGCUUCUCUGACGCUGAGGAACGAAAGCCAGGGUAGCGAACGGG
rnacentral:rRNA from 1 species